rnacentral:rRNA from 1 species
UACGGGGGGGGCAAGCGUUGUUCGGAAUUACUGGGCGUAAAGGGUUUGUAGGUGGCUUGCUAAGUCAGACGUGAAAUCCCUCAGCUUAACUGGGGAACUGCGUCUGAGACUGGCAAGCUUGAGUGCAGGAGAGGAACGCGGAAUUCCAGGUGUAGCGGUGAAAUGCGUAGUUAUCUGGAGGAACACCGGUGGCGAAGGCGGCAUCCUGGACCGACACUGACGCUGAGGAGCGAAAGCCAGGGGAGCAAACGGG